rnacentral:rRNA from 1 species
UCUUGAGUGGAUCCUGAGUACGACGGAGCACGUGAAAUUCCGUCGGAAUCUGGGAGGACCAUCUCCUAAGGCUAAAUACUCUCUAGUGACCGAUAGUGAACCAGUACCGUGAGGGAAAGGUGAAAAGCACCCCGGAAGGGGAGUGAAAUAGAACCUGAAACCGUGUGCUUACAAGUAGUCAGAGCCCGUUAAUGGGUGAUGGCGUGCCUUUUGUAGAAUGAACCGGCGAGUUACGAUUUGAUGCAAGGUUAAGCAGUAAAUGUGGAGCCGUAGCGAAAGCGAGUCUGAAUAGGGCGUUUAGUAUUUGGUCGUAGACCCGAAACCAGGUGAUCUACCCUUGGUCAGGUUGAAGUUCAGGUAACACUGAAUGGAGGACCGAACCGACUUACGUUGAAAAGUGAGCGGAUGAACUGAGGGUAGCGGAGAAAUUCCAAUCGAACCUGGAGAUAGCUGGUUCUCUCCGAAAUAGCUUUAGGGCUAGCCUCAAGUGAUGAUUAUUGGAGGUAGAGCACUGUUUGGACGAGGGGCCCCUCUCGGGUUACCGAAUUCAGACAAACUCCGAAUGCCAAUUAAUUUAACUUGGGAGUC